rfam:Salmo salar isolate Sally breed double haploid chromosome ssa13, whole genome shotgun sequence.
CCCCAAAAAGGUUGUAAGUCGCUCUGGAUAAGAGCGUCUGCUAAAUGACUUAAA